AAGAUCGCUUGUCUUCGGAAGCGGCAGAGCUCUUAGGCGCUCUGCUUGAACACCCCGACAUGGCGGCGCAACUGAAUGAGCGCUUGCUCAAGCUGCCGCGCACGGAAACGGCAAUCGUCAUGGACCGUGUCCUGAGCAAGGCCAUUCAGGAGCAGUCUUGGGGGACGCCCCCAAUUCUCGAUGCCGCGCUCGCCGUUGUCGCGGCAGAUCCUUCGCAAGGUGCCCGCGUCGGUACGUUCUUGCGCGAACGUCCGCCCGCUCAAAUCACACCCAGCCUUGUCCCCAAGAU
rnacentral:misc_RNA from 1 species